rnacentral:rRNA from 1 species
UACGUAGGUGACAAGCGUUGUCCGGAUUUACCGGGCGUAAAGAGCGCGCAGGCGGUCGUUCAAGUCGAGUGUGAAAGCCCCCGGCUCAACUGGGGAGGGUCACUCGAUACUGAUCGACUCGAAGGCAGGAGAGGGAAGUGGAAUUCCCGGUGUAGUGGUGAAAUGCGUAGAUAUCGGGAGGAACACCAGUGGCGAAGGCGACUUCCUGGCCUGUUCUUGACGCUGAGGCGCGAAAGCUAGGGGAGCAAACGGG